CAAGUGCCUUUUCACAGAUUUUGUGUCUCAGACAAGGACAUCCUUUUUUACACCAGAUUCACGUCAAGAGAUGUUUUUUGUGACUUCUGGGAGGUUAUUCAACCAUCUGCCUCCAUGUUGGUUUAUUGGUCGAAAGCUCAGAAAAAGAAACAAACAUUUGAACCCAUUUCUCCCAGUCCAACGUGUAGACUGCAACUGGUUGAGUUUUUUCUCUUCUGCUGCCGGGUUGCUGCAGGCCUGCAAGAGAAGGUGCUGGCUGACAUGUUUCAGAGCUGACUGAACGAAGUGGACUGCUGGAUUUACUGGAGCCAGGAGAUGGCUGCAUGGCAGACAAGGGUUUCACCAUCGAGAAGCCACUAGCUGAUCGUGGGGCAACGCUGAUUAUACCACACUUCAAGAUGACAGUUCACCGAAGAGGAUGCUCUGAAAACACAAGCAAUCGCCCGACUUCGAAUCCUCGUAGAAAGAGCAA